rnacentral:tRNA from 1 species
GGCAGGAUGGCCCAAUGGUUAGGGCAUUAGCCUACAAUUUGGAAGACCUGGGUUAAAUUCCUUUCCCUGCCA